rnacentral:misc_RNA from 1 species
GAUGAAGAACGCAGCAAAAUGCGAUAAGUAAUGUGAAUUGCAGAAUUCAGUGAAUCAUCGAAUCUUUGAACGCACAUUGCACCCUCUGGUAUUCCGGAGGGUAUGCCUGUUUGAGUGUCAUUAAUAUCUCAACACAGACAAGUUUUUUAUGACUUGCACUGAUGCUUGGAUGCUGAAGGUUGCUGGCAAUAUUUGUCAGCUCCUUUUAAAUCUAUUAGCAGAAACCUAUGCAAAAAGCUGGCUUCAGUUUGAUAAGCACUUAUCUGUAUUGCUGUUGCUGGUAAAAUGCUCUUGUUUCAGCUUCCAAUUGUCCAAUUCUCCGGACUGCCUCCCAAGGCAAUUUAAUCUUGACACUUGACCUCAAAUCAGGUAGGACUACCCGCUGAACUUAAGCAUAUCAAUAAGCGGAGGA